AAUGUGUGGGACAAAGGGUCACAACCUUGCGAGGGUAAGCUAACUUCAUAAACCCGUCCCCAGUUUAGAUUGCAGGCCGCAACUCGCCUGCAAAAAG
rfam:Triticum aestivum genome assembly, contig: Triticum_aestivum_CS42_TGACv1_scaffold_288604_4AL